CAUCCCAGGGAUCAAUCUCGUGAACCUACGCUGCACUGCAUAAACAAUUACAUGUAGUUGAAGGAAGCAAGCUGAUUUCCAGAGAUAGGUAGAAACUAUUUUCUUUGGGCUAGAACAACUGUAAAAUAGGAACUCGGCAGUGCACGUUUAGUGUAGAGAUACAGCAUAGAAACAGGCCCUUCGGCCCACCGAGUCCAAGUCGA